UGGGGGAUAUUGCGCAAUGGGGGCAACCCUGACGCAGCAACGCCGCGUGAAGGAUGAAGGUUUUCGGAUUGUAAACUUCUUUUAUUAAGGACGAAACUUGACGGUACUUAAUGAAUAAGCUCCGGCUAACUACGUGCCAGCAGCCGCGGUAAUACGUAGGGAGCAAGCGUUGUCCGGAUUUACUGGGUGUAAAGGGUGCGUAGGCGGCUUUGCAAGUCAGAUGUGAAAUCUAUGGGCUCAACCCAUAAACUGCAUUUGAAACUGUAGAGCUUGAGUGAAGUAGAGGCAGGCGGAAUUCCCCGUGUAGCGGUGAAAUGCGUAGAGAUGGGGAGGAACACCAGUGGCGAAGGCGGCCUGCUGGGCUUUAACUGACGCUGAGGCACGAAAGCGUGGGUAGCAAACAGGAUUAGAUACCCUGGUAGUCCACGCUGUAAACGAUGAUUACUAGGUGUGGGGGGUCUGACCCCUUCCGUGCCGGAGUUAACACAAUAAGUAAUCCACCUGGGGAGUACGGCCGCAAGGUUGAAACUCAAAGGAAUUGACGGGGGCCCGCACAAGCAGUGGAGUAUGUGGUUUAAUUCGAAGCAACGCGAAGAACCUUACCAGGUCUUGACAUCCAACUAACGAAGUAGAGAUACAUUAGGUGCCCUUCGGGGAAAGUUGAGACAGGUGGUGCAUGGUUGUCGUCAGCUCGUGUCGUGAGAUGUUGGGUUAAGUCCCGCAACGAGCGCAACCCUUGCUAUUAGUUGCUACGCAAGAGCACUCUAAUAGGACUGCCGUUGACAAAACGGAGGAAGGUGGGGACGACGUCAAAUCAUCAUGCCCCUUAUGACCUGGGCCACACACGUACUACAAUGGAUGUUAACAGAGGGAAGCAAGACAGCGAUGUGGAGCAAACCCCUAAAAACAUUCUCAGUUCAGAUUGCAGGCUGCAACCCGCCUGCAUGAAGAUGGAAUUGCUAGUAAUCGCGGAUCAGCAUGCCGCGGUGAAUACGUUCCC
rnacentral:rRNA from 1 species